UACGUAGGGACCAAGCGUUGUUCGGAUUUACUGGGCGUAAAGGGCGCGUAGGCGGCAAUUCAAGUCAUCUGUGAAAUCUCCGGGCUUAACUCGGAACGGUCAGAUGAUACUGCUUUGCUAGAGUGCAGAAGGGGCAAUCGGAAUUCUUGGUGUAGCGGUGAAAUGCGUAGAUAUCGAGAGGAACACCUGAGGUGAAGACGGGUUGCUGGGCUGACACUGACGCUAAGGCGCGAAAGCCAGGGGAGCAAACGGG
rnacentral:rRNA from 1 species